UUCUGUGGUAAUAUUUUCUAUGUUUUAAAAUCUUGUAUGUUCUCCAAAGCUAAGCAGGGUUGGGCCUGGUUACUACUUGGAUGGGAGACCACCUAGUAAGACCAGGUGCUGUAGGCA
rnacentral:rRNA from 1 species